GAUGAACGCUGGCGGCGUGCCUAAUACAUGCAAGUCGAGCGAACGGACGAGAAGCUUGCUUCUCUGAUGUUAGCGGCGGACGGGUGAGUAACACGUGGAUAACCUACCUAUAAGACUGGGAUAACUUCGGGAAACCGUAGCUAAUACCGGAUAAUAUUUUGAACCGCAUGGUUCAAAAGUGAAAGACGGUCUUGCUGUCACUUAUAGAUAGAUCCGCGCUGCAUUAGCUAGUUGGUAAGGUAACGGCUUACCAAGGCAACGAUGCAUAGCCGACCUGAGAGGGUGAUCGACCACACUGGAACUGAGACACGGUCCAGACUCCUGCGGGAGGCAGCAGUAGGGAAUCUUCCGCGAGGGGGGAAAGCCUGACGGAGCGACGCCGCGUGAGUGAUGAAGGUCUUCGGAUCGUAAAACUCUGUUAGUAGGGAGGAACAUAUGUGUAAGUAACUGUGCACAUCUUGACGGUACCUAAUCAGAAAGCCACGGCUAACUACGUG
rnacentral:rRNA from 1 species